GUAGGGAAUAUUGCGCAAUGGACGAAAGUCUGACGCAGCGACGCCGCGUGAGUGAUGAAGGCCUUAGGGUCGUAAAGCUCUGUUGAAUGGGAAGAAAAAAAUGACGGUACCAUUCGAGGAAGGACCGGCUAACUUCGUGCCAGCAGCCGCGGUAAUACGAGGGGUCCUAGCGUUGUUCGGAAUCAUUGGGCGUAAAGGGUGUGUAGGUGGCCAGGUAAGUCAGGUGUGAAAGCCCCGGGCUCAACCCGGGAAGUGCACUUGAUACUGCGUGGCUUGAGUACCGAAGAGGGUAGUGGAAUUCCAGGUGUAGUGGUGAAAUACGUAGAUAUCUGGAGGAACACCGGUGGCGAAGGCGGCUACCUGGUCGAGUACUGACACUGAGACACGAAAGCAUGGGGAUCAAACAGGAUUAGAAACCCGAGUAGUCC
rnacentral:rRNA from 1 species